rnacentral:rRNA from 1 species
UACGUAGGAUGCGAGCGUUGUCCGGAAUUACUGGGCGUAAAGCGCGCGUAGGCGGUUCUUUGCGUGGGUUGUGAAAGCUCUCGGCUUACCUGAGAGAGGGCAGUCCAAACGGGAGAACUGGAGGGCGGUAGGGGCUGGCGGAAUGCCUGGAGUAGCGGUGAAAUGCGUUGAGAUCAGGCAGAACACCAGUGGCGAAGGCGGCCAGCUGGGCCGUACCUGACGCUGAGGCGCGAAAGCUAGGGGAGCGAACGGA